CACGGAUCGUGUAGAGGCCUUCAUCUUCUUUGUUGAGAUGAGAAAACGUCAGCGUUGCUCUAUCUCCACUCCAGUGUGUUUGUACCCAUUUUGAUGGAGAAACAGGUGCUCCUAGAAAUUUUUUUUAAAAGUUAUGCCUCCUAAUGUCCAUAUUCUGCCAGCUCUGAUAAACAGGCCUGCAGUCUUGUGGACACUCAUGCUCUGGUGCCAAGCCUUAUUCUGUGAAUAAGAAUCUAAAUGAGAAUUCAUCACAGAGUCUCACCAUUUCUGUACCACUGGAUCUCUGGCUGGAAAUGCUUAAUUUCAGGAGUGAUAACUACACGGCAGCCUAGACUCAUCGUCUCGCCCUCUCUCCCAAAAGACACAUCAAACUUGUCAUCAAAGUGGAUCUCAAACUUGGACGCAUAACCAUAAGGGGUCACAGCAACUGGGUACGACAAAAACAAACAUUGGUUAACUUGUUUUUUCUCAUCAGAGAGACGCAAGCAUUUUAACAAGCAGUUACAACAAACACUGAUCAAAUGGUUUAUUUGGGCAAAAGAUUAAGUCUUCUAAAGAAGUACAAAGCACAUUCCCACAUAUUACUAUGUGAAAUGGAAAUUCUAGGUGUGGAAAUUCUUGCUUCAUUGGUCAGAUAAGCUAAAUGUUUGUUUUUAUUAUUGCAAUGAAUAGAAUUUAAAGGAUCAGGUUUAAUACCUCACAUAGCAUAUAAAUUAAUACCACAUUUAGCUUAUACUUAACUACUUAGCACAAUAUAUGUACUUUUUAGAUUCCUAGUUCAUUUAAAACUGAACUGCUGUACUGUUCAAACAGCCAUAUCAAUUACUCAUAAAAAUACAGUUUUCCAGCAA